CGGNAAUUAAUAAUNGAUGGAUGGGCGCAAGCCUGACCCAGCAACGCCGCGUGAAGGAAGAAGGCUUUCGGGUUGUAAACUUCUUUUAAGAGGGAANAAAAAAAAAAAGUACCUCUUGAAUAAGCCACGGCUAACUACGUGCCAGCAGCCGCGGUAAUACGUAGGUGGCAAGCGUUGUCCGGAUUUACUGGGUGUAAAGGGCGUGCAGCCGGGAAGACAAGUCGGAUGUGAAAUCCCGCGGCUCAACCGCGGAACUGCAUUUGAAACUGUUUUUCUUGAGUACCGGAGAGGUCAUCGGAAUUCCUUGUGUAGCGGUGAAAUGCGUAGAUAUAAGGAAGAACACCAGUGGCGAAGGCGGAUGACUGGACGGCAACUGACGGUGAGGCGCGAAAGCGUGGGGAGCAAUUUAAUGAUUAGAUACCCUCCCAGUCCACGCUGUAAACGGUGGAUACUAGGUGUGCGGGGACUGACCCCCUGCGUGCCGCAGUUAACUCUCUACGUAUCCCACCUGGGGAGUACGAUAAAC
rnacentral:rRNA from 1 species